AAUAUUUUUUUAAAAAGAUCAAAAUAUCACAAUCAUAGAUUCCAAGGUAUAUUACAAGGCUAUAGUCAUCAAAAUAGUAAGGUACUAGCACAAAAAUAGACACACAGAUCAAUGGAACAGAAUAGAAAACCCAGAAA